CCAAACCUGGUUGAUCCUGCCAGUAGUCAUAUGCUUGUCUCAAAGAUUAAGCCAUGCAUGUCUCAGCAUAAAUUCCUGCACGGUAAGGCUGCGAAUGGCUCAUUAAAACAGUUGUAGUUUAUUUGAUGGUCAUUCCUACAUGGAUAACUGUGGUAAUUCUAGAGCUAAUACAUGCACCCAAACCCGACUCCGUGG
rnacentral:rRNA from 1 species